GAUGAACGCUGGCGGCGUGCCUAAUACAUGCAAGUCGAGCGAACGGACGAGAAGCUUGCUUCUCUGAUGUUAGCGGCGGACGGGUGAGUAACACGUGGAUAACCUACCUAUAAGACUGGGAUAACUUCGGGAAACCGGAGCUAAUACCGGAUAAUAUUUUGAACCGCAUGGUUCAAAAGUGAAAGACGGUCUUGCUGUCACUUAUAGAUGGAUCCGCGCUGCAUUAGCUAGUUGGUAAGGUAACGGCUUACCAAGGCAACGAUGCAUAGCCGACCUGAGAGGGUGAUCGGCCACACUGGAACUGGGACACGGUCCAGACUCCUACGGGAGGCAGGAGUAGGGAAUUUUCCGAAAUGGGCGAAAGCCUGACGGGGAAACGCCGCGUGGGGGAUGAAGGUCUUCGGAUCGUAAAACUCUUUUAUUAGGAAAGAACAAAUGUGUAAGUAACUGGGCACAUCUUGACGGUACCUAAUCAGAAAGCCACGGCUAACUACGU
rnacentral:rRNA from 1 species